CUCAAGCUUUCACCUUUUAGCAACAACUCUACCAACUUCCUUCUUGAAUUGCAGGGCGAUUUCAAAGAAGAGGUUAAGAGAUCACUAGGCUUGUUUCCAUUGGCAUCGACGCAGUUGGCAUCAGCAGAAGCAUCGAGCAAGAGCUUGACGAUUUCAACCAAAGAAUUGGAACUGCCAGCAACAGCACAGUGAAGUGCAGUAACCUUAUCCCAGCCACAAGUCCUAUUGACAUCAACUUUCCAAGUUUCAAUUAUGUACUUCAAAACAUUA
rnacentral:misc_RNA from 1 species